rnacentral:rRNA from 1 species
UAACCUGCCCAAGAGAUCGGGAUAACACCUGGAAACAGAUGCUAAUACCGGAUAACAACAGAUGAUGCCUAUCAACUGUUUAAAAGAUGGUUCUGCUAUCACUCUUGGAUGGACCUGCGGUGCAUUAGCUAGUUGGUAGGGUAACGGCCUACCAAGGCGAUGAUGCAUAGCCGAGUUGAGGGACUGAUCGGCCACAAUGGAACUGAGACACGGUCCAUACUCCUACGGGAGGCAGCAGGC